rnacentral:rRNA from 1 species
AUUGAACGCUGGCGGCAUGCCUUACACAUGCAAGUCGAACGGCAGCACGGGUGCUUGCACCUGGUGGCGAGUGGCGAACGGGUGAGUAAUACAUCGGAACGUACCUUAUCGUGGGGGAUAACGCAGCGAAAGCUGUGCUAAUACCGCAUACGCCCUGAGGGGGAAAGCGGGGGAUCGAAAGACCUCGCGCGAUUAGAGCGGCCGAUGCCUGAUUAGCUUGUUGGUGGGGUAAAAGCCCACCAAGGCGACGAUCAGUAGCUGGUCUGAGAGGACGAUCAGCCACACCGGGACUGAGACACGGCCCAGACUCCUACGGGAGGCAGCAGUGGGGAAUUUUGGACGAUGGGGGCAACCCUGAUCCAGCAAUGCCGCGUGAGUGAAGAAGGCCUUCGGGUUGUAAAGCUCUUUUGUCAGGGAAGAAACACCGGCUCUAACACAGUCCGGGAAUGACGGUACCUGAAGAAUAAGCACCGGCUAACUACGUGCCAGCCGCCGCAGUAA